GACGAACGCUGGCGGCGUGCUUAAUACAUGCAAGUCGAACGGAAAGGCCCUGCCUUUGUGCGGUGCUCGAGUGGCGAACGGGUGAGUAACACGUGAGUAACCUGCCUUUGACUUUGGGAUAACUUCAGGAAACUGGGGCUAAUACCGGAUAGGAGCUGCUGCUGCAUGGUGGUGGUUGGAAAGUUUCGGCGGUUGGGGAUCGACGCGCGGCUGAUCAGCCUGCUGGUGGUGUAGUGGCUUAGCAAGGCUAUGCCGGUUAGCCGGCCUGCGAGGGUGACCGGCCCCAUUGGGCCUGAGGUAGGGGCCCGACUGCUCCGGGAGGCAGCAGUGGGGAAUCUUCCGCAAUGGGCUGAAGUCUGAUGCAGCAACGCCGGGUCGUGGAUGUCGGACUUCGGGUUAUAAACAGCUUGCGACUGUAAAGUACCGUGAGUGACGGUAAUGGGUACAGAAGCACCGGCUAACUCCGUG
rnacentral:rRNA from 1 species